rnacentral:rRNA from 1 species
UACGUAGGGUGCGAGCGUUAAUCGGAAUUACUGGGCGUAAAGCGUGCGCAGGCGGUGAUGUAAGACAGGUGUGAAAUCCCCGGGCUUAACCUGGGAACUGCGCUUGUGACUGCAAGACUCGAGUACGGCAGAGGGGGGUAGAAUUCCACGUGUAGCAGUGAAAUGCGUAGAGAUGUGGAGGAAUACCGAUGGCGAAGGCAGCCCCCUGGGUCGAUACUGACGCUCAUGCACGAAAGCGUGGGGAGCAAACAGG